rnacentral:rRNA from 1 species
AGAGUUUGAUCCUGGCUCAGAACGAAUGCUAGCGGCAGGCCUAACACAUGCAAGUUGAGCGGACAACCUUCGAGGGUUGUUAGCGGCGAACGGGUGAGUAACACGUAAGAAUCUGCCUUAUUCAAUGGGAUAGUUGAGGAUUAAACCUUGAGUAAUACCAUAUAAUUCCAUGGAAUUGGUAAAGAAUCAACGAUUGAUUCGGAAUAAGAUGAGCUUGCGGUAGAUUAGCUAGUUGGUGAGAUAAAAGCCCACCAAGGCAACGAUCUAUAGCUGGUCUGGAAGGACGGACAGCCACAUCGGGACUGAGACAAGGCCCGACCCUCUACGGAGGGCAGCAGUGGGGAAUAUUGGACAAUGGGCGUAAGCCUGAUCCAGCCAUGUCGCAUGAGUGAUGAAGGUCUUAAGGACUGUAAAGCUCUUAAAUCUAUUGAAAUAAUGAUAAGUAGAAUGAAAGCUCCGGCCAACUUCGUGCCAGCAGCCGCGGUAAUACGAUGGGAGCGAGUGUUGUUCGGUUUUAAUGGGCGUAAAGGGCAUCUAGGUGGUUCAAUAAGUUGCCUCUUAAAUCUUGGGGUUCAACUCCAUUGAAGGAAGCAAUACUAUUGAGCUGGAACUUAUAAGGGACGUAAUGGAAUUCCAAGUGUAGGAGUGAAAUCCGUUGAUAUUUGGAGGAACACCGGAGGCGAAAGCGAUUCGUCAUAUUAAGUUGACGCUGAAGAUGCGAAAGCAUGGGGAGCAAACAGGAUUAGAUACCCUGGUAGUCCAUGCCCUAAACGAUGAGUGCUAACAGUUUGGAACCGACCCCGAUGGCCCAAGUGAAGACCAGAGGUCCGGGCCAUUUGAUUAUGGGUAAAAAGGUUCUGCAUUGUAAAGCUAACGCGUUAAGCACUCCGCCUGGGGACUACGAUCGCAAGAUUAAAACUCAAAGGAAUUGACGGAGAUCCGAACAAGCGGUGGAGCAUGUGGUUUAAUUCGAAGCUGCACGAAGAACCUUACCAGCUCUUGACAUUCGAUGCUAAACAUGUUGGAAACAACAUGAACGCUUGCAUUAGCAAGCAUGCCUUGGACAGGUGCUGCAUGGCUGUCGUCAGCUCGUGUCGUGAGACGUAUGGUUAAGUCCUAGAACGAGCGUAACCCUUGUCCAUAGUUGCCCAAUCACACCCCAAGUUCGAUCUUGGGGUCUUAAGGUUCUCUAUGGGAACUGCCAAUGCAAGUUGGACGAAGGAAAGGACAACGGCAAGUCAUCAUGGCCCUUAUGGGCUGGGCUACACACGUGCUACAAUGGUGGUAACAAAGAGUCGCAAUAUCGCAAGAUGGAGCAAAUCUCUAAACACCAUCUCAGUUCGGAUUGUACUCUGCAAUUCGAGUGCAUGAAGCAGGAAUCGCUAGUAAUCGUGGAUCAGCAUGCCAUGGUGAAUAUGUUCUCGGGUCUUGUACACACUGCCCGUCACACCAUGGAAGCUUAUCAAGGUCUAAGCCAAGCUAGUCUUGGCCACAUCUUGUAAAGGUGAUCGAGGUGAAGUCGUAACAAGGUAGCCGUAGGAGAACCUGUGGCUGAACACGAA